UGGGGAAUAUUGCACAAUGGGCGCAAGCCUGAUGCAGCCAUGCCGCGUGUGUGAAGAAGGCCUUCGGGUUGUAAAGCACUUUCAGCGAGGAGGAAGGUGGUGAGCUUAAUACGCUCAUCAAUUGACGUUACUCGCAGAAGAAGCACCGGCUAACUCCGUGCCAGCAGCCGCGGUAAUACGGAGGGUGCAAGCGUUAAUCGGAAUUACUGGGCGUAAAGCGCACGCAGGCGGUUUGUUAAGUCAGAUGUGAAAUCCCCGGGCUCAACCUGGGAACUGCAUUUGAAACUGGCAAGCUAGAGUCUCGUAGAGGGGGGUAGAAUUCCAGGUGUAGCGGUGAAAUGCGUAGAGAUCUGGAGGAAUACCGGUGGCGAAGGCGGCCCCCUGGACGAAGACUGACGCUCAGGUGCGAAAGCGUGGGGAGCAAAACAGGAUUAGAUACCCUGGUAGUCCACGCUGUAAAACGAUGUCGAUUUUGGAGGUUGUGCCCUUGAGGCGUGGCUUCCGGAGCUAACGCGUUAAAUCGACCGCCUGGGGAGUACGGCCGCAAGGUUAAAACUUAAAUGAAUUG
rnacentral:rRNA from 1 species